GCCAUCGUGGCAUAGUGGUUUGAGUAUUAGACUAUGACUCCGGAGACCAGGGUUCAAGUCCCAGCUCGGCCA